rnacentral:lncRNA from 1 species
AAAUACAAAAAGACGAAAAAAGGAAUUACGAUCGCGGUCAAAAAUAAUUAUUGAAAGCACAUAUUUAUAUGAAAAAUCGAAUUUCGCUGACAAAAAAAAAAAAUUGUUAGUUAAACCAUUUUGUCAACUAAUUUUAUGGGCUAGUGAAGACAGAAACUACAUUUUAUAUAAAUUUUAAUCCCAGUUUCCUUCGUUUGAAGGUUUAGCCCACAAAAUUCCAAAAACCAUGGAAAACGCGAGUCCCUGGAUUCGUAUUAUCAUCGUUCAUUUGUUAUCUUUAAUAUAUU